UACGCGCCUUUACGAAUCGCAGAGUUUAAGAAAUUAGCAUGCCCGAUCGUCGAGGGGUGGCUCUCGGAGAUGCGCGAGACGCGCGUCAAAGUGACACUCACACACAGAGAGAGAGAGAGAGAGAGAGAGAGAGAGUGCCAAGGUUCAGACGACGACGCGAGAGGGGUUAGACGGUGCGCGCUCGGAGGCAAAGUGAGGUAAUGGCGUGUCGGAGUUAACCGGCUGAUAACCAUCGGUUAUAAUUAACUCAACCUAAUUGGCGAACAAGCUAAGCCUGCCAACCGCGCUAAGUCGUAACUGUGCGUUUCACUUUAUGGAUAUCGAGCAACGGUCGUCGGGCACAGGAUUCCCCGCUCUCUCUGUCGUUCGCCCUCUGAGGAUGACUUCCUGUGGAACCGUCAGCAGUAAUGCUUUCGGUUAUGUAUUAUUCUUCGUACGAUUACCAUUUCGUACGUGACGGUUGAAACAUUGCGGAGUGAAGAGUUGCAAAAUGGAAAUUGUGCAAGUCAACGUAGCUAACUGCGUUCCAUUUUAUUUUAAUCGUAACAAAAUUAUAACUGUAACGUUCUGCUCUGGUGGAUAUUAUCGCAGUAGCGAGGAUUUAUCAAACGCAGAAAGUUGAAUAGAAAAGUCGGUUUAGUUCGAUUCGAUGAUAAUUCUUCGUUAAACCAGGUCUCGAGUAAGAUCGAAACGCAAAUGCACGUCGCAAGUACGAUAAGUCAAACUGACCUGAAACAUGUUCAAUCGACGACUACGGACUCGCCCCUGGUUUCAACUGGUUGCAGUUUUCCUCGAGCAACCUGCGAGUCGGAGUCCGGAGUUUCUCACAGGAACAGUAAACAAGCCGUCGCGCGGAAGCGGCUUAAAAACGACACCCGGUACGAUGGCUGUCAUGGCAGCCGUUGCCGCUUUCUCGCUGCAUUCUCCCAAAGGUUAAUCCCUAUUGUCGGUUGACAUAAGCCUCUAAUGGAUGGAACCGAUCCGCGGCACGGACGACGCAGGCUCUCCGACACGGACGCACCACCAGUUUCGAUUCGCUCUGUUUGUUGAACGUAACGUUUGCCGGGCGCGAACAACGGUGAAACAUUCAUUUUGUUUUUUUCUCUUUCUCUCCCUCUCUCUCUUUUCUUUUUUUUAUUUUCUUCUCGAACAACAAGGAUGUCUGCCAGUCUGUCACGGGUUUCUGAACAAUCGUCCCGAUGGCACAAGAUUUCGGGGAGUGGGCGAAGUUUUUAUUUUCGGACGAUGGUACACGAUUAACACGAGAGGGCACGCGUCCACGUCCAAGACGUAUGUACGUACAAUCGAAAUCCGUCUUUCCGGAGAGCGUAAGCGAGUCAGACGAGUCAGUCUAGGAGGAGGGUUAAACAGGGUGUCCGUUUCGGGUGCUUUAACGAGGCGAAACGAGGCACGGAGAAAUGCGGUAAAAGGGCCAAUCCCAAUCACUUUUCCCGACCAAUUCUGUAAUUUUCGCUAAGCAGAACGAAUGCCUUCUCUCUUUUCUCUCCUAUGGUAGCCGAGCCGGCACGGUAGAUUGCAGAAAGGAGGCCCUAGGACGUGGGGUGGUUCGUCGGUUGGGGAGGGUGAUGAGGAGAGGAGGGAAGGUGGUGGAAAGGCCAGGCCAGGCCGCGCGCAAUCAUCGCCUAGUCUUUUAAUUUCCUAUACUGGCGGGAGAGAGCACGUGUAAGUGUGUACGCGUUGGCGCGGACGCGCGCGCGUCCACGUCCGUGACCGCGACCGUGUGCGUGGCGUUCGUGUGAAGCGGAUGUAGGGAAGAUAGGGAAGGAGAGAAUGGGAGAGAAAGUUUUGAGUGAAGGAAAAGGAGGAACGGAGAGGUGUGGAGGAACGAAAGGGGAGAAAAAGAAGGAGAACGUGAAUGAAAGGAGGAUGGAGAGAGAGAGGGGGGGAGGGAGGGUGAAAGAGGGGCAAGAGACGGAGGAAGAGAACGGUGGCUCGUGCGCGAGGGUCGGCACGGGGUGGUAAUUGGCUGUCAUGGCUUCCCAGUUCUACCAACCGCCCAACAACCCCGAGAGAUUGGUAUCGCUUAUAAUUAACUUCUCCGUGCCACGAAGCCACCGUUUCCAUCGCGGCGUCCACGAAAAAGAGAGGUAGUUACAAAGGAGGGAGGGGGAGGGGGAGCGAGGGCUAAAAAGCAGCUGUGUGUAUGUGGGUGACACGGGCGGGCGAAAGUUUCGAUUGUAGUCAAAAAGCUGGCGAGGUUUCGCAAGCGUGCGACGUAAAAAAAAAAAAAAAAAAAAAUAAGAAAAGGAAAGAAAGAAAGAGAAAAGAAAGAAAUCGAGCCACGGAGAGGAACGAUAUAUCGGGGGAGGAGGACGCGCGCGAUGAAAUGGAAGGACUGUUGUGGCUCGUGGUCCGUCCGCCUUAUUUCUUAUUCGUAAUACCAAGUUCUGUUCGCAAUGUGCUGGCGUCUAACGGGGAAGAUCGAAAUUCCGUGUGCCCGGGAGCGUCGAACGGUGGUCUCGUUAUUUCGUAAUUUUCCUUAGGUACCGUAAUUGGAGCCUUUUGUACGCGCGUCGCUACUCUAACGAAGAAGAUCAUUAGCUUUGAGAAAAUCUGGUAGUCCCGCAAGUUUCUCGGCGGACACCUUUGAAAUGAACUCACCGACACCUUUAGGGGUGGCUGAACGAGUUGGAAAGAACUGCGGAAGCCGUGCGUCAGGGUUCGAAGAAGAUUUUACGGGACAUAGGAUAGCGGUUUGCCUCUUGCACGGCAGAGGAAGAGGCGACAGCAGCCAGAAGAAAGACUCUUUCAGCGAACAAACGGAGAUGGAAAACGAGCCAGAGGAAUUGGGACAGGAUUGUAAAGAAAGAGGAACGGAGGUCAGAGAGGGAAGAUUAUAAAGUAGAUUAAAGCGGAGAGGAUGACAAGGAAGGCGAUAAAGCAGAAAAAUGAAAGAGAAAGUGCAGUAAAAAGGAGGAAAAGAGAGAGAGAUAGAGAGAGAGAGAGAAAGUGAAAGAGCUGUGUGGAAGCUGCAAGAAAGCUGUAUAGAGAAGAGAAGAGUGAUGAAGAGGAAUGACGUGACGAGGAGAAAGCGUAGGAGUAAACCAGAGGAAUCGUAUGAGCAACACGGCGGAGGGCGACAAGGGAGGAAACGGGAAGGAUAGAAAUGCACCGAAGUCUAAAUCCUCGCUCCGUUUUCCACGCUCUCAACUGCCGACUUCGACUGCUCGUGCUCGCUCUCCGUCUCCGUUCAUCGAGUGUGUUUCAUGAGUGUCAACGUACGCGCGGAGGAUCGAGGAAGCUACUACCACGACCGUGCCAUCCGAGGAUUUUCACGGAUCCUGCAGUUCAUCGA